rnacentral:misc_RNA from 1 species
AUUUCUUAGAAGUUUUCCCCUGAAUACGAGGAUGCAUAGUUCUGCUUCGCGGCCAUGGGGAUGAAUGCCUUGAUUCGGCUGAAAAACUAAGACUGUUCCUUCGUAAAACUUGAAAUGUUCAUUGCCCCACAUCUCCACUAUCUUAUUUUUCUGGCAAAUACCCCGUUUUGAUCCGUCUAAACAGCCCCUCUCACUAUACUUCCUAGUUCUUCCUUUAACUCUGUCCUCUCGAUAAGACUUCCUUCGUCGUCCGUGCUGAACUCGACUGCUUCAUCCUUUAUGAAUGGAGGGGGGAGUCCUUCUGCGAGUGACUGAAUUUUGAUGAUUUGGAACCUGAGAAUUUUGUAUCUAAAAAGUUCAGUGUGUGAUGUGGCAUGGUGACGCAUACAUAACGUAAGCUGAAGUUCUUGGGUUUGUCGCGUGUUAUUUCGUCUUUACGGUAUCUACAGCACCGGGACUUUACGAAAUUUAGAUAUAGUUGGAUAUGUAGAUAUUUAUGUUAAGAUCUGUAGACUGUCAGGUGUACAAAAGGUGGUUAUACAUGCAGAUUAAUGUCGUGCGACUAGUGAUUAUGUUGGUUUUACACGCAACAAAACUGCAGUUUUACGUCCCGCGACCAAGAUAUCUACACCUUAUUUAUUUAUUCCUUUCGAUUUACUCAUAGUGACGUUUUAUAUACAGAUAUAUAUAUAUAUAAAUUAUAUUGAAGUUAAGUAAAAUUUUUCGAGUAUAAAUUUUGCAUAUAAUAAAAAAAUUUAUUAUAAAAAAAAAUAAUUAUGAUAAAAAAUAAUAACCCUAAUUUCGUCCGGCCAAAACAAUAACAACAAUAGCAACAACAAGAACAGCAACAAUUUCACUUAACAUUUUUUAAACGCGCUCAUCGUCUAUAUACACUCUUGUAAACAAACUGUCAUAGUGUUUGUUAUUAAUAUAUUUUUUUUCUUGUCGAAAAUAUAUGAAAACUAUUUAAAACAUUUUUAUAGCAAUAAAAAAUAAUAUAAAUAUAACAGUUGACGCGAAUGAAUGUGUAAAAUAAAUAAAUUCAAAAUUUAAAAAAAUGGAAAAAAUGGAAAAAAUAGCAAAUAAAUUAGAAUAAAAUCUGCAGCAAACAAGGGCACAAUAUAAAAAAUAUAUCACAACCAGAAAAAUAAAAAAGUGAAGUCGUCAAGCACAAAAAAAACUAAAACAAAAUCCUAAGUACCAUAAUUCUACUUGAACCAUGGUUUGAUUCCCACUAGAAGUUCUUUAAAUUUAUAUUUAUAUAUUUACAAUUAUAAAUAAAUUCAUAAAUAGUAUCUAAACCUAAAUAAAAAAGAAAAAAAAAACCAAAAAAUGUAUUAUAAAUUUACUCAAAUAAUUUAGAUAAUAACAACAAAAAAAAUAAAAAAAACAAAACAUGGAUUUUCCCUAAUUGAUUUCCGGACCGGUUUAUUAUAUUUAAAUAUUAAAAUAAUUCAAAAUAAAUGACAACCAAACGUGAAAAUUUAGUGGUUUCCACCAUACAACAUCGUCGAGAACGGUGAGUGUGACUUGAGGUGCGUGUGAUUGAUAGUGAGUGUAUGAAACGGUUGCAAAGAUAUACAGAAGAUAAUAUGAUGGAUAUAUGGAGGGACCAGUAUGAGCAUCAGCCUGAGAGCACUUAUAAAUACACGACUGUGGAACGUAGCACUAACAAUAUCAGCAAUAAUUCGUCAACGACAGGCCAACGUUUUGAACGCAUUUCAACCACAGGUAGCACAAAUAAUAGUAGUAGCACACUUGGAUGUGGCCAGCAACAGCAGCAAGCACAGCACAUUGGCGGCUGUGGGGCAGGAGCAACAGGUAGUGCUUAUACCACUGGAGGAUUGAGUAGCAGUAGUAAUAGUAGCUAUAGCAUCACCGGUGGCAGGGAUAUCAGCGAAAACCUAUUAUUACCGCAGAAACCCGCUAGCGACGAGAAACAAUCAUUUAGUAAGGAAACCAAGCAAUUACAACAAACCAAGUUACAACUACAUUUGCCGUAUAAGCGAAAGGUCCAAUUGCAUUCAAGCAACAACAAGGACUCACAACAAGAACAAACGCCAAAAGCAAAUUCCCGGGGCAAUAGUAAUAAAUUUGAAAAACAACUGAAAUCUCCUAGUUCACUGCAAAAACAACAAACAGCCAACAACAAUCAAGCUAGUUUUAGUAAUAAAAACAAUACAAACAAUAAUAAUUCGGAUACUGAAGUAACUAGUGGCAAAAAUAAUAUAAUUCCUAUAAAAUCAACAUAUAAUCGAAAAUCGGUUCAACUAAUAUCGGGCAGCAGCGUCACUGGGCAACAACCACUAACGAAUAGUAAAAGCAGUAGUGAUAGUGCAAAUCCUAACGGUAGUACCGCGAGAAACCCAUCUAAACAACAAACUGUAGCUGAGAUACCGGAUGAGAACCAAAAACUACAAAAGGAUAGCAGUGGAUCAGUUGUAAAUAGUACAGACCAAGGAGAGAAGAAUCAAGUACAACAGGAACGACCAGAAAAGACCGAAAGUUUAUCACCUUUAUAUCGAGUUGAAAUUUCUAAAAAUACUGCCGGAUAUAUUCCAUGUAAUUUUUCAUCGGAAGAGACAAAUAGUGGCAAUAUCUUCAAUUCAACAAGUAGUGGUGGAAGCAGAAGCACAGACAACACCAACAAUAAUAAUACUUCCCCGUCGAUAACAAGUGCCAUUACAAGGCAAACAACAACAACAACAGCAACUGCAGUAACAACAGUGCCAGGAUUAGGAGCAUUAACAAAUAGCGGAAGCAAUUUAUAUUUAUUUCGAAGACGAAAUUCUCUAUCGGGUACCACAGGCGCUGUAUGGCAGACAACACUUAGCGUCGCAACGACCAUGAGUGCGGCUGCUGCAGCACCAACAAUGGCCGCGACCGAUGUUAGUGGUGGCCCUGAUGCUAGUAUCUUGGCCGAAGGUGGCGGUGGAGGCGGCGGUCUAGCAAAUAGUAUGGGUAUGCCAGAUGGUGCUAGUAGCAUAAUGGGUGGUGCAACACCUAAUAUUCCAGGCACUACAAAUGGUACAACAAUCGGUGGACAAUUGAAAACAGCUGCUGCACAGGCAGCUGCGAAACGUCCAGUACGACGUGGUGGUAAACCACCACCAGAUAGGCCAACGCGUGCUCUAUUUUGUCUAUCGUUGCAGAAUCCAUUGCGAAAGAUGUGCAUCGAUGUUGUUGAAUGGAAACCAUUCGAAUAUUUAAUUCUAUUAACAAUAUUUGCCAAUUGUGUUGCCUUAGCCGUCUAUACACCGUAUCCAUUUAGUGAUUCAAAUACGACAAAUGCAUAUUUAGAGAAAAUUGAAUACGUUUUUCUAGUGAUUUUUACAGCUGAAUGCUUUAUGAAAAUUAUUGCAUAUGGAUUUGUAUUGCAUUCCGGUGCAUAUUUACGUAAUGGUUGGAAUAUAUUAGAUUUUUUCAUAGUUGUAAUAGGAAUGAUAAGCACAGUUCUAUCGAAUUUAAUGAGGGAAGGCUUCGAUGUUAAAGCUUUAAGAGCAUUUAGGGUGCUUCGGCCACUAAGACUUGUCUCGGGUGUCCCAAGUCUACAAGUUGUACUCAAUUCGAUUCUUCGUGCCAUGGUGCCUUUAUUACAUAUUGCUCUUUUAGUUAUAUUUGUUAUAAUUAUUUACGCGAUCAUUGGUCUUGAGUUAUUCUCCGGUAAAAUGCAUAAAACAUGUUUUGAUAAUGUUACAAAUGAACCAAUGGAUGACCCACAUCCGUGCGGUGAUAACGGAUAUCAGUGUAGUUUAGAAAAUAAGGUAUGUCGUUACUAUUGGGUCGGACCGAAUUUUGGCAUUACGAAUUUCGAUAAUUUCGGACUGGCCAUGUUAACAGUAUUUCAAUGUAUAACAUUGGAAGGAUGGACUGAUGUUUUGUAUGCGAUACAAGAUGCUUUGGGAAAUAGCUGGCAAUGGAUAUAUUUCAUUUCUAUGGUUAUUCUGGGUGCAUUUUUCGUAAUGAAUCUAAUUCUCGGUGUAUUGAGUGGUGAAUUCUCCAAAGAACGUACCAAAGCUAAAAAUCGUGGCGAUUUUCAAAAGUUACGAGAAAAACAACAAAUCGAAGAGGAUCUUCGUGGAUAUUUAGAUUGGAUAACACAAGCUGAAGAUAUUGAACCGGAAACGGUUGGUAGUAUGACACAAGAUGGUAAAGGUAAAACACCUAAUGAAAUGGAUUCAACGGAUCAACUGGGCGAUGAAGGUAUGGAAAUGCAACAGGAAUCUUGGUUUCGUAAAAAGAAAAAAGACUUAGAUCGGGUUAAUCGAAGACUGAGACGUGCUUGUCGUAAGGCGGUCAAAUCACAAGCAUUCUACUGGUUAAUUAUUGUUUUGGUAUUUUUAAAUACUGGCGUUUUAGCAACUGAACAUUAUCAUCAACCACGAUGGCUGGAUGAGUUUCAAGAGGUGACAAAUAUGUUCUUUGUGGCUCUCUUCACGAUGGAAAUGAUGUUAAAAAUGUAUAGUUUAGGAUUUCAAGGAUAUUUCGUUUCAUUAUUUAAUCGUUUUGAUUGUUUUGUCGUUAUCGGAAGUAUUGCUGAAAUGAUACUAACACGUACACAUGUGAUGCCACCGUUAGGCGUCUCUGUGCUACGUUGUGUGCGUCUGUUGCGUGUUUUCAAAGUAACCAAAUAUUGGCGAUCGUUAUCGAAUCUCGUUGCGUCACUUUUAAAUUCCAUACAAUCGAUUGCAUCACUUCUACUAUUGCUCUUCCUAUUUAUUGUGAUAUUCGCGUUACUCGGUAUGCAAGUGUUUGGAGGAAAAUUUAAUUUUAAUAAAGAAGAAGACAAGCCACGAUCGAAUUUCGACAGUUUCUGGCAGAGUUUAUUAACUGUAUUUCAAAUUCUCACCGGAGAAGAUUGGAAUACAGUGAUGUAUGAUGGUAUCCAGGCUUACGGCGGUGUAGCAUCUAUUGGCGUUCUUGCGUGCAUUUAUUUCAUCAUUUUAUUUAUUUGUGGUAAUUACAUCUUAUUAAACGUUUUCUUGGCCAUCGCUGUUGACAACUUAGCCGAUGCUGAUUCAUUAACCACAAUUGCCAAAGAAGAAGAGGAAGAUGACAAUAAGCAAAAAUCACGAAGUCCGACUCCCUUGGAAGGGGAAGAUUUGGAUAACCUGGAUGAUCUUGAAGAAGGCCGCGAAGAUGACGAAAAUUUAGAUGAAGAAACAGCUUCAGAAACGCAAAUUCGUCUAGAUGACGAUGACGAACAAGAUACCUACGAAGAAGAUAAUGAAAAAGAUAAUGGCGAUAUACACGAACAAAUAACGGCUCGUCCACGUCGAUUGUCCGAAGUCAGCAUUAAGAAGUUUAAAAAGCCAAUACCCAGAGGAAGUGCAUUUUUUAUAUUUCCAUACACAAACAGAUUCCGAGUAUUUUGUCAUUGGCUAUGCAACCAUAGCCAUUUUGGUAAUGUUAUACUUGGAUGUAUCAUGUUCUCGUCAGCUAUGUUAGCCGCAGAAGAUCCUCUUAACGCCAAUUCGCAACGAAAUCAGGUCUUAAAUUAUUUCGAUUACUUCUUUACUGCCGUAUUUACCGUUGAAUUAGUUCUUAAAUUAAUAGCCUACGGUUUUGUGCUACAUAAAGGUGCAUUCUGCCGUUCAGCAUUUAAUCUAUUGGAUUUACUGGUUGUGUGUGUGUCGUUAGUUUCAAUAUUUUUCAGUUCGGGCGCAAUAUCCGUAGUAAAGAUCCUUCGGGUACUACGUGUUUUAAGACCUCUCAGGGCUAUCAAUCGAGCGAAAGGUUUAAAGUACGUUGUAAAAUGUGUGAUUGUUGCCAUUAAAACAAUUGGUAACAUCAUGUUGGUUACAUAUCUACUACAGUUCAUGUUUGCCGUUAUCGGAGUUCAACUAUUUAAGGGAAAAUUUUUUUCUUGUUCGGAUGGAUCAAAAGUUGUUGAAGCUGAAUGCCAUGGCACCUACUUGGUAUUUGAAAAUGGCGACGUUAACAAGCCCACCAUAAAGGAACGGGAAUGGGAUCGAAACAGGUUUCACUUUGACGAUGUUGCAAAGGCUAUGCUGACACUGUUCACGGUUUCAACAUUUGAAGGAUGGCCUGGGCUUCUCUAUGUAUCAAUCGAUUCAAAUCGUGAGGAUUACGGCCCAAUACAUAAUUUUCGUCCAGUUGUUGCAGCCUAUUAUAUUAUCUACAUUAUUAUAAUAGCAUUUUUCAUGGUUAACAUAUUCGUCGGUUUCGUUAUUGUUACAUUUCAAAACGAGGGUGAACAAGAGUAUAAAAAUUGCGAUCUUGAUAAAAAUCAACGAAAUUGCAUUGAAUUUGCUCUGAAAGCAAAACCUGUACGUCGUUAUAUACCAAAACAUCGUAUACAAUAUAAAGUUUGGUGGUUCGUCACAUCGCAACCAUUUGAGUACACGAUAUUCAUUUUAAUUAUGAUUAAUACAAUAACAUUGGCUAUGAAGUUCCAUCGUCAGCCUGAAUGGUAUACGGAAAUGCUGGAUGUGAUGAAUAUGAUAUUCACGGCUGUGUUCGCUUUGGAAUUCGUUUUUAAAUUGGCAGCGUUUCGAUUUAAGAAUUAUUUCGGUGAUGCCUGGAAUGUGUUCGAUUUUAUAAUUGUCCUCGGAAGCUUUAUCGAUAUUGUGUAUUCAGAGAUAAAAGUAAGCAAAGGUUUUAAAGUUAGUGGGGCUGAAAGUGUUGGAGCAUCGAAGAAGCCUGGAACGAAUUUAAUUUCGAUAAAUUUCUUUCGACUGUUUCGUGUAAUGCGUCUCGUAAAAUUGCUGAGUAAAGGUGAAGGUAUACGGACCUUACUAUGGACCUUCAUCAAAUCAUUUCAAGCGCUGCCGUAUGUUGCGCUACUCAUUGUUAUGCUGUUCUUCAUUUACGCUGUUAUUGGGAUGCAAGUGUUCGGCAAAAUCGAUCUCAAUCCAGAAACAUCAAUCACACUCAAUAAUAAUUUUCAAACAUUUCCGCAAGCGGUACUGGUACUAUUCCGCUCAGCUACUGGUGAAGCUUGGCAAGAAAUUAUGCUUGAUUGUUCAUCACGCCCCGGUAAAGUUGUAUGUGAUUCACGCUCAGAUGAUGCUGGGAAUCUUAAUUGUGGAUCAAGUAUUGCAUUUCCAUAUUUCAUAUCGUUUUAUGUGUUAUGUUCAUUUUUGAUCAUCAAUCUUUUCGUAGCCGUUAUUAUGGAUAAUUUUGAUUAUUUAACUCGUGACUGGUCCAUAUUGGGUCCGCAUCACUUAGAUGAAUUUAUACGACUCUGGAGUGAAUACGACCCAGACGCGAAGGGUCGAAUCAAACAUUUGGACGUGGUUACACUCCUUAGGAAGAUUUCACCGCCUCUGGGUUUUGGUAAGCUGUGUCCGCAUCGGAUGGCAUGCAAGCGACUAGUAUCAAUGAAUAUGCCAUUGAACAGUGACGGGACGGUAUUAUUCAAUGCAACACUCUUUGCGGUGGUGCGAACCUCCUUGAAAAUUAAAACCGAAGGCAAUAUAGAUGAGGCUAAUGCCGAAUUGCGAGCGACAAUCAAACAAAUUUGGAAGCGGACAAGUCCGAAACUAUUGGACCAAGUAGUACCACCGCCGGGCGUAGAUGAUGAGGUCACCGUUGGUAAAUUCUAUGCAACGUUCCUCAUUCAGGACUACUUCCGACGCUUCAAAAAGCGCAAAGAGCAGGAGAGCAAAGAAGGUAUACUUGACCAAAGCAAUACAUUGACGCUGCAAGCUGGCUUGCGGACACUACAUGAGGCUGGUCCCGAAUUGAAACGAGCCAUUUCGGGCAACUUAGAUGAACUGAUGGAGGAACCAGAACCAAUGCAUCGGCGCAACCAUACCCUGUUUGGAAGCGUUUGGUCAUCCAUGAGACGUCGGGGCCAAAGUGGUCCAUUUUCCAGGGGCGGAAUGCAGCAAAAAUCGAACGUGAGUGCGAACAAUGGUCCUAGUGCUCUCGGAGGCAUGAUCCCAGGGGAUUCAAUACAUCACAGCAUCACGGAUGGUAUGAACCACAUAACGAAGACCCUUAUGCAAACACGCUCCACCAUUCCGGACAGUGGUCUCAUCCUGCCCGGCACUGGUGGAGGUUUUGGCGGUGUUGGUAUCGUAGAUGGCAGCUUCCACGAUGCCACCACUGGCGAAUUGAAGACUCACGGCGAAAGCAUCCCAAUGCGACCGCUUAUGUUCAACAGCAUCGGUGGAAACAUCAUUCAUCCUCAGUCGCAGCCAUAUGACUGCUUUGGGUGGAGGUGAACCCAAUGGUGGUAUUAGUUCAGAACGCAUGGUACAUUCAACACCUGGCAGCCCACAAGAUCGUCAUCCGAGCUCAUUUGAGGUUGUUGGAUCGGCUGAAAGUUUAGUUGGUCGGGUCCUCGCUGAACAGGGUCUUGGUAAAUAUUGUGAUCCCGAUUUUGUCCGAUAUACAUCGCGUGAAAUGCAGGAGGCUCUCAAUAUGACGUCCGAAGAAAUGGACAUGGCGGCACAUCAAUUACUUCAGCAAGAGUG